rnacentral:tRNA from 1 species
AUGGCUCAGUGGUAGAGAGCAUGGUUGGCAUGCAUGAGGUCUUGGGUUCAAUCCCCAGU